UACGUAGGGGGCGAGCGUUGUCCGGAUUUAUUGGGCGUAAAGAGCUCGUAGGCGGUUCGAUAAGUCGGACGUGAAAUCUCCACGCUCAACGUGGAGGGGCCGUUCGAUACUGUCGUGACUCGAGUCCGGUAGGGGAGUGUGGAAUUCCCGGUGUAGCGGUGAAAUGCGCAGAGAUCGGGAGGAACACCGGUGGCGAAGGCGGCCAUCUGGACCGGAACUGACGCUGAGGCGCGAAAGCGUGGGGAGCAAACAGG
rnacentral:rRNA from 1 species